UACGGAGGGUGCAAGCGUUAAUCGGAAUUACUGGGCGUAAAGCGUGCGUAGGCGGUUCGUUAAGUCUGUUGUGAAAGCCCCGGGCUCAACCUGGGGAAUGGCAAUGGAUACUGGCGAGCUAGAGUGUGUCAGAGGAUGGUGGAAUUCCCGGUGUAGCGGUGAAAUGCGUAGAGAUCGGGAGGAACAUCAGUGGCGAAGGCGGCCAUCUGGGACAACACUGACGCUGAGGCACGAAAGCGUGGGGAGCAAACAGG
rnacentral:rRNA from 1 species